rnacentral:misc_RNA from 1 species
GUUAGAGUCAAGGGUCUUGUGAUUCUCGGUACCUCAUCGUGAUCAGCUCAAGUCAAACCGAACUGCUCUGGACACUCAUCGCUGACAUCGCUCUCCUCUUCCCUUCUGAGUUCUGUCUCUGUAUAUUCAAUUCAAAAUGCGAAGAAGACCCAACAAUUCUUCUUCCAAAUCGGAACCAUCGACCAGUCAAGAACCCAUCGGAGUUGAUGCCACUGGAACCGCCAAUGUUGUGGAAGAUGCCGGUUUGAUUAGUGGAAAGACGAGAAGGUCAGGAUUUGUAUGGCUGAUAUUGUUUGGGGUGAUCAUAUACUCUUCAUGGGCUGUUUACUAUUACCAGUUCGAGAGUUUGCCUUUGCCUCUCACCGCUGAGCAGGCCGGCAAGAGGGGUUUUUCUGAGGUGGAGGCUAUGAAACAUGUCCAAGCCUUGACUCAAUUGGGCCCUCACCCUGUUGGGUCUGAUGCUAUUGACCUUGCUUUGCAGUAUGUUUUGGCAGCAGCAGAAAAUAUUAAGAAAACAGCCCAUUGGGAGGUUGAUGUUCAAGUGGAGCUUUUCCAUGCAAAAACUGGCGCAAAUCGUCUGGUCAGUGGCCUCUUUAAGGGGAAAACACUUGUUUAUUCAGAUCUGAACCACAUCAUUCUAAGAAUCUUGCCAAAAUAUGCAUCUGAGGCAGAAGAAAAUGCUAUUCUCGUCUCUUCUCACAUUGAUACUGUAUUCUCAACGGAAGGUGCUGGAGAUUGCAGUUCUUGUGUGGGUGUUAUGUUGGAACUUGCUCGAGGGAUUUCUCAGUGGGCUCAUGGAUUCAAGAAUGCCAUAAUAUUUUUAUUUAAUACUGGCGAGGAGGAAGGUCUAAAUGGUGCUCAUAGCUUUAUAACUCAGCACCCUUGGAGUAGAACUAUUUGUAUCGCUAUUGAUUUGGAAGCCAUGGGUGUUGGAGGGAAGUCUGGCAUUUUUCAGGCUGGUCCUCAUCCAUUUGCUAUUGAGAACUUUGCAUUGGCAGCAAAAUACCCAUCUGGUCAUAUUGUAGCACAGUUGUGAUUGUGCAGGAUCUUUUUUCAUCUGGAGUGAUUAAAUCUGCUACAGAUUUCCAAGUUUACAAAGAGGUUGCUGGUCUUUCAGGGCUUGACUUUGCUUACACAGAUAACAGUGGUGUAUAUCACACUAAGAAUGACAAAUUGGAGUUCCUCAAAUCUGGAUCUCUUCAGCAUCUUGGGGAGAAUAUGCUUGCUUUUUUACUUCAGAUAGCUCCAACAUCUCAUCUUCCAAAAGGCAAGGCAAUGAGAGAAGAGGAAAAAAGUGGCCAUGACAAUGCUGUAUUUUUUGACAUUUUGGGGACAUACAUGAUCGUAUACAAUCAACGUUUUGCAAGCAUUCUUCACAAUUCAGUGAUUAUGCAAUCACUUCUAAUAUGGGUGACGUCGUUGCUUAUGGGUGGUUAUCCAGCUGCUAUUUCUUUGGUCUUGUCAAGUCUGAGUGCCAUCCUAAUGUUGGUAUUUUCAAUAAGCUUCUCUGUUCUCGUGGCCUUCAUUCUUCCACAAAUAUCUUCAUCACCAGUGCCCUAUGUUGGAAACCCAUGGUUAGUAGUUGGGUUAUUUGCCGCACCUGCGCUCAUUGGGGCAUUGAUUGGCCAACAUUUUGGUUAUCUUGUUCUUCAAAUGUAUUUAUCAAAUGUAUACUCCAAGAAAAAGCAGCUGUCAUCUGUUGUCCAAGCUGAAUUGGUCAAGUUAGAGGCUGAAAGAUGGCUUUUUAAAGCUGGUUUUAUUCAGUGGCUUGUUCUUCUGAUCUUGGGACAUUAUUACAAAAUUGGUUCAUCUUACAUUUCACUCUUUUGGCUGGUUCCACCAGCAUUUGCAUAUGGCUUGCUUGAAGCAACUCUAACCCCAGCUCGGUUGCCAAGGCCCCUCAAACUUGCAACUCUUCUAACGGGUAUGGCUGUACCAAUUAUAAUUUCUGCGGGAACUUUUAUUCGCUUGGCUGCCACGUUAAUUGGAAUUGUGGUUCGAUUUGAUAGGAAUCCGGGUAGCACUCCAGAGUGGCUGGGGAAUAUAAUAAUUGCUGUUUUUGUUGCUGUUAUCAUAUGCUUCACUCUGAUUUACGUCCUUUCAUAUGUCCAUCUUUCAGGUGCAAAAAGAACAAUUAUCCUUGCAACUAGUGUCCUGGUUGGACUCUCACUCAUUUUAAUAUUAUCUGGUAUUGUUCCACCGUUUACUGAAGACAAUGGCAGAGCUGUCAAUGUUGUGCACGUUGUGGAUACAACAGGAAGCUAUGGUAAUAAGCAAGAUCCUACCUCGUAUAUAUCAUUAUUUUCCACAACACCUGGAAAGUUGACAAAGGAGGUUGAACAGAUUAAAGAAGGAUUCUCAUGUGGGAGAGACAAGGUUGUUGAUUUUGUUACUUUUUUUGUCAAAUAUGGUUGUCGGACCCAUGAGGACACUAAAGGUGGAUGGAGUGACACAGAUAUUCCUGCAUUGCAUGUUGAAAGUGAUACCAAAGGAGAUGAGAGAAUAACACGAGUUUCAAUUGAUACGAAAGUUUCUAUACGUUGGUCUCUUGCAAUCAAUACUGAAGAAGUAGAAGAUUUUAUUUUGACAGGGAAUUCAGAGGAAUUAAUUCCAUUUGGCAACAAGAGCAGCACAGACGGAUGGCAUAUAAUUCAGUUUUCCGGGGGAAAAGAAGCUCCUAGAAAGUUUGAGCUAACCCUUUUCUGGGUGAAGAAACCUAUGAAGUCUGCUCACAGUGUGGAUGAACAACAGACUGAGGACCAACAGCCCCUGUUAAAGCUAAGAACAGAUGUUGACCGAUUAACACCAAAAGCUGAAAGAGUUCUUAAGAAGCUCCCUGCAUGGUGUUCCCAGUUUGGGAAGUCCUCAUCUCCCUACACCCUAGCAUUUUUCAGCAGUCUUCCUGUUGAUUUUUAGAUAAUUGAAAUAUCCUCCAGAAAGUAUAAAGAGUACGAGGGAGCAUUAACUUAACAUGAACUGAUGUAUCUUCCUGUUUCUUGGAUCUUAUAAACAGAAUGUGUGGAGAUAAAGUAGGAAAAAACUCAAAAGGUGAGUAUUGUUUAUUCAGUACAGUGGUGAUUAGGAAGUUAAAGAGUAAGGCCUCUUUUGUUGACAAAACAUAAUAAAAAAAGGUCGAUUGAGUGGAA